AUUGACCUCGGAUCAGGUAGGGAUACCCGCUGAACNUAAGCAUAUCAAUAA
rnacentral:rRNA from 1 species